rnacentral:sRNA from 1 species
UACCAAGGGUCCAAAAGCCAUGUGUUUCAUGCUUGCAUGAAAAAACAUGGCGUUGGGACCCGUAAAACAUGAGCAAGGAGGCUGAUAGGCCGGAGUGCGAAUGUUUUCAGGAUUGCGGGAGCAUGAAAUGCGGAGCAAUUUAUGGU